AUUCUGGCAGGUUUGUUUAAAUCUGUAUUCACAAGUAGAGCAUGAAGCAUAAUGACUCAAAAUUUAUUUUGGCAUUAUGUCAAUAUAGUAAUGAAAUAACCUACCAUUUAUUAACUAUCAUUCUUGAACUAUUAUGAUUUGAAAGACGAUCAUUAAAUUCGUUCACAGCCUCGUGCGACAUUCACGUCGGUAAAUAAGGUCGUACAAAGCCCCAAUCACUCCUGAUCUUACGGCUGUGGCCAGAAAUCAAAAGACAUAAUCUUCCCCGGUCUAUCUCCAACCAGGGAUGUGCAACUAUGGACCUAACUACCAAGUAGUUUUUUAUGAGGGGUUGAUCGAAUUGUUCAUCUCCGUGUACGAGUGUAUCGCCUCUUGGCUUCACUAGCUGAAGCUUACAUCACAUACACUUUGAAAAGCAUAAACGAUUCGAACCCAAAAGACUGAAAACGAAUGCCACACCAACUAGAAGCAUGCCUGGGAAUUGGGAUUUGCCAGAACGGUAAGGCUAUACAGUUUUAAUUUUACUUCCACAACAUCAAGCAAAUGCAUCCAUCUUGCAAUUCAAUUAUGCAGGCAUUAAAAGACUCAGAAAAUAAAUCCAUCAACAGUGAAGUGUCAACUU
rnacentral:misc_RNA from 1 species